AUAUUGCCAGGCCACCAGAGGAUGCUUAGAGAUUAUCCAGAAAUGAAAUGACAGCAUUUCUAAGAUGUAUGCUCCAGUAAAACCCCUCCAAACUAGAAAGCUGAACUGCAGCCAUUUGGACACUCUUGUCAGUAAGAGGUGCCAUCUCACUCAGAGUUCUGGCAAAACAGAAGGCAGACCCAAAGGGCUUCACCAAAGAAAGCUUAAGGAAGGAAGAGGAGCUCCAAUACUGUGGCCACCUGAUGCGAAGAGCUGACUCAUUGGAAGAGACCCUGAUGCUGAGAAAGAUCGAAGGCAAGAGGAGAAGGGGGCGACAGAGGAUGAGAUGGUUGGAUGGCAUCACUUACUCAACAGACAUGAGUUUGAGCAAGCUCCGGGAGACGGUGAAGGACAGGGAAGCCGGGCGUGCUGCAGUCCAUGGGGUCACAAAGAGUUGGACACGACUGAGCAACUUGGACACCACACCAAGGAAGAGGACACAGCGUGGUGAGCACGGGCCCCCAGGACACUCACAGAGCUAGUGCAGACCCUCACAGAUGCCCCUACCCCCGACUUGGUGUGCGUGCAGGUCAUCAACGGCUGGGUCCCCGCUCCCUCUCUGCGCCUCCGGCCCCCUGGCAUCAAACCAUCAUGCCUUGCCUGCAUUGCCUGGAAGCAGGGGCAACGUCUCUCCUGCCGCUGGGCCGGCUGCCCCCUCCCAAAGGCCAAGACUGUUGCAACGUCCUCUGAGGGAUGCUCUAGGGAGCUGGAAGGAAGAGGGCAAGAGCCUACUCCUGCGUGUCAUCCACGAAGAACCAAGGGGCAGCCAGCCCUGGGCGAGCCACGCCCCACGCCAGGAUGUGCUGCGCAUGCGCUUCAGGCCCCAGUUCCCGCCUGCAUCGCCGCGCGUGUGGACCUCAGGCAGAGACCAGGCCGGUGAACCGUGGGGCGUGACUUAGAACCUGACUAGGAGACAGUGGGAGCUGGAGUACGUGUGAGCUGAGGCUCCAAGCCCUAGAGCACGCUUCACUCAAAAAACUCAAAUGCUAAAGGAAAGCCACUGUGAAUUCCACGACAGAGCCUUAACCGAGAGUUGUGGGACCUUCUGACGUGGAUGCCAAGCAGCAGCGCUGGUCCCGAGCCCAUGAAGCGAGCCCAGAAUGGCCUUUACAGUAGUUUUUUUUUUUUUUUAAAGAAAUUCUCUCAAGGACUUUAACCACAGUGCAAAUGAAGCGUUUCCUGAACCUAUCCCUAAUGGCUGGAACAUCUCGCAAAUAGUCUUGAAAUGAGGCAUCUUUGUUGAGUGUUUCAGACCUUGAGAUAAAGAUUUUUUUGUUCUUUUUUUUUCUUCUUAAUUUAGUGAUGGGGUUUUCUAUUUAUUAAUUAUUCAUUGAUCGAUGCUUUCUUAGAAUGUGGCUAUAUUUUCAGUAACAAGAAAUCUUUAAUACUGACAUGGAUGAGGAAAAUUUUAUCUUGAGAGAAACUCAGGCUUCAAGGUAGCUUUGAUAAACAGCUGAAAGCAUUUUACAGAGUUACAGUUUCAAUUUUCAGUUAAAAAAAAGCAACAACACUAUUCUGCUUCUUUUUGAAUGUUAAAAAUUUGAAUUUUUAUUCUGACACUGAUAAAGAGCAUUACUACUCUUGGACAAACAUUUGACUCUUUUUUACAAACACUAAAAAUAGGAAAUCCUAUGCAAACAUUUCUGCAACCUACCUGAGUUUCUCAAAACUAAGCUAUUGGUAUCAAUUAAUUUUAUUAGAACUGAAUGUCCAUUUCAAUGUGUCUAUUUCCACUGAUUUGAUGAUCUGAAAGGAAUUGUCAAAUUUUUUUCUUUCUGCUCUUUGGUAUGAUAUUUAAUUAAGAAAUUAACAAGAAAGCUCUGGCCUUGCCUUAUAAAGUAUGAAUUUGAGUAAAAUAAUUUUAGUUUUUUCCUUCCUUUCUUAUAGUAAUUACUUAGGAAACACUUCAUUCUUGUAACAGUCUUGAAUUACAAGAUGGAGUUAAAUAUUAUGUAUAUAUUAGGUAAAUGAUUUAAAAGCUUCUGAUGCAGGAAACUAAAAGGUAUAAAUAAGAUUAGAGAGGAAAUUGCCUUUUGGAUUCUUCUAUUCACUAGUUUAAAAUAAACCAACGUUAAAAUUCAACCAAAAUAUUUUGAAACAAUGAGUCAUUCUAAACGGGUAGCAUUUAUGUUAAAAUGUUUAGCCGGAGUAUUUCUGAAAUUUAGGUGUUAUUUAAACCUGCAUGGGUAUUUCUUCAUUUUUACUGUAUGGAUUAUCAACUCCUCUUUCAAAAUAAGAAGGGCCACUCAAGGGUGUAAAACCAGCAAGAACCUUAGGAAAUACAAAGAGAAUUUAUGUCAUCCCACAGAAAAUGUCUGAAUUUUGUGUUGCUCUAUACACGUUUUAGUUGGUAAAACUUUUUGCCCUGUUAAAGCACGAUUUUGAACUCUGGGCCUUCCAUUGCCUGUCAGAAUGACGGAGCAGAGGUAAAAUUAAAGGGUGUUUUCGGCCUGCCCUCCUGAAGGCCCUGGAACAACCUGUGGGCCAGUGUAGGAAGAAUCUUGAAUUCAGAUCUAUCCCUGUGGGCUUUCUCAACCUUCCCUGUGUGUGUCUGUCCAAAGUUAAGCCGACUUCUCUGCACUGGCCGGAAAUAAAGACUUAAAUACACUCCA